rnacentral:rRNA from 1 species
UACGUAGGUGGCAAGCGUUGUCCGGAUUUAUUGGGUUUAAAGGGUGCGUAGGCGGCUUGAUAAGUCAGUGGUGAAAGCCGAUCGCUUAACGAUCGAACUGCCAUUGAUACUGCCAGGCCUGAGUAUAGUUGAGGUAGGCGGAAUUGACAGUGUAGCGGUGAAAUGCAUAGAUAUUGUCAAGAACACCAAUUGCGAAGGCAGCUUACUAAAGUAUAACUGACGCUGAGGCACGAAAGUGCGGGGAUCAAACAGG